UUCUAGGAAGUCAGCAUGAAUCGGCUUUAUGUUCCCUGCCUCCAGACCCUAUUCUCCUGCCUCACAGGGAGUGACCUCACAGAAAGGCAUUUUUUUUUUUUAAUUGGAAGUUUCUUUCAAACUCUGCCUGCUUUUAGAUGGCUCCUCUUAGAACUAUGCAUCUCUCCUGAUACUUGGAUGCUUUUCCUCUGACUGAUGAAGAUCCUGAAUACCAAAGAGGGCCGCUGACAGGUCUAGGAGUACACUUCUAGCACCUAGCAGAGAGAGGCUUCACUACAUCAUGCUUCCUGACAUCUCUCCCUUUGAAGAGCAGUCAGACUCCUGCUUUGCUCUUCAGACUUAAUUUGGGGGUUUAACAGCCAUGUGAAGUGCUCACUCCCCCUUUGCCUUCUGCCAUGAUUGUGUGUUUCCUGAGGCCUCCCCAGAAGCUGAGAAGAUGCUUCCUGUACAGCCUGCAGAACUGGAUAGCCCAGAGCUAUUCCAUGUAUUCCAUGGAUGGGCACAUUUGGAAGUUUGGUUCUAAAAUCUAAAAGAAGAAAUUUAAGUGUGCUGAAGAUAACUGCAACUCCAAACCUAACGCUGUGUAAUUCUAUGUUCUGCCAUUUUGAAGCAAAGUGGAACCAGAAGUGAGAGGACUAUUUCUAGGUCAUGCUACGGUUACCCUGACCCCAGUCACUCCCUAUGCUGGUCCAUCCAAACUCAGAGCCACGAUCAAGGCCCUUCUACAACACAGAUGUGAUUACUUCACUCUCUUUUGUGGGGUAAAUAUAAGCCAAGAGCCAAGCAGGUGCACUGUGGAGGAAGGGAGAAUGCAAGAAGAAAAAAAGAAAGCCCGCCAGGCGCGGUGGCUCACGCCUGCAAUCCCAGCACUUUGGGAGGCCAAGGUGGGCGGAUCAUGAGGUCAAGAGAUCAAGACCAUCCUGGCCAACAUGGUGAAACCCCAUCUCUACUAAAAAUACAAAAAUUAGCUGGGUGUGAUGCCGGUAGUCCUUGUAGCACCUGUAGCUACUCGGGAGGCUGAGGCAGGAGAAUCACUUGAACCCGGGGGCAGAGGUUGCAGUGAGCCGAGAUCGCUCCACUGCACUCUAGCCUGGUGACAGAGGAAGACUCCGUCUCAAAAAAAAAAGAAAAAGAAAGCCUAGGAGACAUGUACAAACUUGUAGGCAUUUGAGAAGUUAUGUUCAUUUGAUUAAAAUCAGAAAGACACAACUCGGAAAAUGUAAAAUACAGAUGAAAAAAUGAAAGCAAUCAUCUUCUUAAACUUAUAAAGAUCUUAAACUCAUUUCUCUGGCUUUAAAAGAAGAGCAUCAGUAUGGAGAAGCUAAGGGGAUGGCAUAUCUGAGCCCUUGUUGGGAAAACUCUUAAUCGCCUGCAGGUUUAGGACCAAGCAGGGCAUAUAAGCCACUUCAUGGUUUGGCCCCUUCCUUCUUCUCUGUUGCCUAACAAUUUUAACUUCACCAAUAUUAAACUAAUUGCAGUUUUCCAAACCUAUCCUACUAUUUUACCCUUUGAUGAUUUUCUGCCUGCCUUUUUCUUUGUUGAGAAUUUCCUUACUUUCUAUCUAUCUUUGCCUGACAAACUGAUUGAUUCUCCAAAGUGCAACUCAAGUAUUACCUCAUUUCUGAGGAUCAUUCCUUCAUCCCUUCAAGUUCCUUCUUCUGUGUCAUCAUUAACUUUCUAUGUGUGGUUUUAAUGUACUUCAAGUAAUGUCUUAUACUUAUUUUCUCAUGGCUAUUGUUCCCUUUCAGACUUGAUAAGUCCUCAAGGAGAGAAUCUAUGUCUUUUAAAAAAAUCUUGAUAUUUCCUUACAGAGGUCCUGGCACAAAAUAGAUACCCAAUAUAUGUGCAACUGAAUAGAAAUUUAUGAGGGAGUGAUAAUUAUCCGUGUCUUCCUUUCAGCUAUGACUGUGUCCCAUGAUAAAAGUUUUUUGGAUGAUGAUCAUUUGUCUUGUCAUUUUUGAGUUCAACAGCGAGUGCCAGGGGGAAGAUCAAGGAAAAAUUGUCUGCAUCUUGAUUCCAGAUUUUAAAAGCUCUGUAACCCUCACUCCAAGGGUUAUGCUUGCAGAAGAGAAAACAUUACUACUGGGACUAAAAAACAAAAUCCUUUCACAAAUGUAACUGAGUUUGUUUGCAUGCUCUGGAAUAUAAAUGUUUGAAAAUCUGCAAUGGCAAUGAAAUAAGGUAUCAAAUUCUACAGGCAAAAAGCCAUAGAACCAAUAUUCCAAAAAUGGCUCAUUAAUUUCUUUUUUUUACCCACCAACUGCACAGCUUGAGAAUGUAUUUUAAAAAUCUGAUCUUGUUUUAAACUAUUAAAAUAUUUUCCAGUGUCUAAAUAGCAGCCAGUUCUUAUAUUAUUCAUGAUUGCAGCCUGUCAUUGUGACCAGUUUUUUCCACUACUUAAUUGAGUGUAGUAUCAUUUCCAUUUUGCUACUGCCCGAUAGUACUGAAAAAUGUAAGCUAUAAAACUGCACUCAUCAAGAAAUAUUAAUGGAGGAGGAUGUCCAUAUCCUUUUACAAUGCUUAAAAGCUUAAGCUGUAAUAAUAAAAAGUUGGCAUGUAUUUCCUGAAAAAAUCAAAAGGAGAACUUGAAGGAAAUGAAAGUAAAAUCCAAUAGGAUUAUAAAAUUAGAGCAGAGUUAAGGAAAAAUAUUUUGAGUACCAGAAGAAGUCUAAAAUAAAUUUAAAAAAAUACAUUUGUGACACUGCGAUGUGACCCAGACAAUCGGUACUAAAUUAUGUAAUUGGAGACUCCUUGAAGAAUUUAGCAAUGCACUCAUUGGAGGAAGGCAAUAAAAACAUCUUUCCCUGGAUACCCAUCUGGAUUUAACCAGCUAGAUACAGGGAAAAAUGAACUGGUAGUUUAGAGAGAAAGCACUAGGACAAAACCUUGUCAGCCAUCAGAAUGGUGAGACUAAAGAAAUGGAGGAACCAAAUUCUUGACAUGGCUGGUCUAUGCUUAAAGAGAAAGGGGACAGUAUCAUGCUCUAUUAUUGAUAACCAGAAGAAAUGGUGAACCUAUUUGGUUCAAGUUGAUUAGUAACAUCUUCAUACCUAGUAAAGUGUCAUAAGUCUCAUUUAAAGCCACGGAGAGUUACCACACAUGUUUAAGAAUUUCAGAUUUGAAAGGAGUUAAGGUAAAAUCUCUCUCUUGGUAUGUGGCUAAGAAUUUCCAGGAGAGGUGUUACAAAACUCAACAAGGCUGGUAUAUUAGCCUGUUCUUGCAUUGCUAUAAAUAAAUACCUGAGACUGUGUAAUUCAUAAAGAAAAGGGAUUUAAUUGGAUCACUGUUCUACAGGCUUUAUAGGAAGCAUGGUGCUGACAUCUGCUUGGCUUUUGGGGAGGCUUCAGGAGACUUAAAAUCAUGAUGGAAGCUGAAAGGGGGAGCAGGCAGAUCACAUAGCAAAAGCAGGAGAAACAGAUAAGGGAGGUGUUGCUACACACCUUAAAACAACCAGAUCUUCAAAGAACUCAUUUGCUAUUGUGAGGAUAGUACCAACAGGAUGGUGCUAAACAAUUCAUGAGAAAUCAUCCCUUGUGAUCCAGUCACCUCCCACGAGGCCCCACCUCCAACAUUGGAGAUUACAGUUCAACAUGAGAUUUGGGUGGAACAUGCAAACCAUAUCAUUUUGCUCCUCGCCCCCCAAAUCUCAUGUACUUCUCACAUUGCAAAAUACAGUCAUGCCUUCCCAGUAGUCCCUGAAAGUCUUAACUCAUUCUAGCAUUAACUCAAAAGUCUGAAGUUUAAAGUUUCAUCUAAGACAGGGUAAGUCUCUGCCACCCAUAAGCCUGUGAAAUUAAAGACAAUUUAUGUACUUCCAAGAUAUAAUGGGGUUAUAAGCAUUGGGUAAUCAUUCUCAUUACAAAAGGGAGAAAUCAACCAAAAGAAAGGGGAGUACAGGGCCCAUGCAAGUCCAAAACCCAGCAGGGCAGUCACUAAAUCUUAAGGCUCCAAAAUUAUCUCCUUUGACUCCAUGUCUUGCCUCCAGGACACAAUGGUACAAGGGAUGGGUUCCCAAUGCCUUGGGCAGCUCUGCCCCUAUGGCUUUGCAAAGUUCGGCUCCAGAGGCUGCUGUCACAGGUCGUUGAGUGCCUGUGGCUUUUCCAUGCUGAGUAUGCAUGCUGGCGGUGGAUCUACCAUUAUGGAGUCUGCAGGACAGUGGCUUUCUUCCCACAGCUCCAUUAGGUAGUGCCCCAGUGAGGACUCUAAGUGGGGCCUCCAACUCAUUUUCCUCUGCAUUUCCCUAGGGUUCUUUGUGAGGGCUCUGCCCCUGCAGCAGGCUUCUGCUUGGGCACCCAGGCUUUCUUAUAUUUACUAUUACUUUUAAUGGCAAAAACCGCAAUUACUUUUGCACCAACAUAAUACAUCCUCUGAAAUCUAGACAGCGAACAUCAAGCCUCAUUCAUUCUUGCACUGUGUGCGGCCACAGGCUUAAAGCCACAUGGAAGCCACCAAGUCUUACAGUAGCUUAUGCCCUCUGGAACUAUGGCCCAACCUGUACCUGGGCCCCUUGGAGCCGAGGCUGGAGUGGGAGCAGCUGGGAUGUGGGAGCUGCCUCCCGAGGCUACACACAGGGCAGUGGAGCCCUUGGCCCAGGAAAGCAUUCUUCCUUCCUAGGCCUCUGGGUCUGUGAUGGGAGAGGCUGCUGUGCAGGUCUAUGAAAUGCCUUCGAAGGCUUUUUCUUGUUGUCUUGGCUAUUAGCACUGGCUUCUUCUUAUAUACAAAUAUCUCUAAUAAGUGGUUGAUCCACAGUCUGCUUGACUUCCUCUCCCAAAAAAGCUUUUUCUUUCUCUGCCUAGACAUGAAUAGGUUACAAAAUUUUCAAACUUUUACACUCUGCUUUCCUUUUAAAGUUCCAACUUAUUUGUUUGCUCUUGUAUCUGAUCAUAGGCUGUUAGAAGCAGUCAUGUUACUUCUUAAACACUUACUUUGCUGCUUAGAAAUUUAUUUCACUAGAUACCGUAGGUCAUCACUCUCAAUUUCAAACUUCCACAUAUCCCUAGGGCAUGGAUACAAUCCAGCCAAGCUCUUUUGCUAAGGCAUAGCAUAUGUGACCUUUGCUUCACUUCCCAAUAAGAUCCUCAUUUCCAUCUGAUAACUCAUCAGCCAGGCAUUCACUGUCCAUAUCACCAUCAGCAUUUUGGUCACAACCAUCUAACCAGUCUCUACAAAGUUCCAAACUUACCCUGUCUUCUUCUGAGCUCUCCAAACUCUUCCAACAUUUGCCUGUUACCCAGUUCCAAAGCUGCUUCUAAAUUUUAGGUAUCUUUAUAGCAAUGCCUCACUUCUCAGGACCAAUUUUCUGUAUUAGUUUGUUCUUGCAUCAUUAUAAGGAAAUACCUGAGACUGGGUAAUUUAUAAAGAAAAGAAGUUAAAUUGGCUCAUGGUUUUGCAGGCUAUACAGGAAGCAUGGCACUGACAUCUGCUCAACUUCUGGAGAGGCUUCAGGAACUUACAAUCAUGAUGGAAGGUGAAGGGAGAGCAGGCAGGUCACAUGAGGAAAGCAGGAACAGGAGAGAGAGGGUAGUGCUACACACUUUUAAAUGACCAGAUCUUGCAAGAACUGUUUUUCAGUCUAUCUUUGAUUCACAUAGUUUCAUGUAAUAAAUCUUCAAAAUAGGCAGAGAAUGAAUUGUAAACAGCCCUUACUCCUUACCAGUUCCUCUGCUUGAGUUCUAUUACUGUGUAUCUCCUAAAAUUUAUAUUUAAAAAUAUUUCCACCUGUUUUAAGUAUUUAUUUUGCUUCUUUGCUCAGCAAUAAAGUCCUCUUUAUCCACUGAAUCCACCCUUGCAGUUUUUCUGAACAUUGUUCUGUUUAUGGAUCCCCUUGAAACC
rnacentral:lncRNA from 1 species